CGGCGGCGGCGUGCAGUCGGUCUGCGAACCGCCAUCAAACCAACGAACAACGAACAACAACAACAACAAGUUGUGCGGCGCGUUUCAUGUGUCUAUGAUAAAGAAGCACACUUUAAAGUGUUUCCAGGUCCGUGUGCACUUUAACUGCACUAAAGAAAUAUAGCAUACAGGGGAAUAAUCGCGCAGAUUCUCAUCGUCCUUAACGUGAAGAAGAUUAGUUUUCAGACGAAUCUUCGGAGAUCUGUCUGACUCUCUACAUACUUUCACACAUACUGUUAUAAUGAUGGAGUUUAUUAAAGAGGAGAGUGAAGACACGAGUUAUUCAGAGCCAUGCAGAGUGAAAGAUGAAGAUACCGAGGAGCUGAGAGGAGCUGUGAAAUAACGAUGGAUGAAGAAUCAGCAGAUGAUGGGAGAGAGAUUAAACAAAAUAUCAUUUGGUGAUGUACGAAAUGUAGAAAAUGUCUAAUUAAUGUUCAUAAUUUAGAAUGCAUGUAAAACUGGGGCCGUAUUCAAAAAACAUCUUAAGGCUAAAAGUAGCUCCUAACUAGCCGAUUUAGUAGAAACUCUUAAAAAUAAUGGACCAAUCGGUCCUGAUUUCAGGAUCCCUAAAUAUGUGAAAAUAGUCAAAUCACAAACCAAAAUCCCCAAAAUGUCUGUUGCCUGCAAUAUGCUUCAGAACAUAAUUUAGAAACAUUUCAGGAUAAUUUCCCUUCAGUUUAACUAUGUACUUCUUUUCAUGUACAAGUUGUUCAAGAAAUAACAGCGGUUCUUGCAUCUAGUGUGUGUGUGUUUAACAUUUGCACAUUGUGUUAGUAUCAUGAUUAUUCUAGUCUGUUAAUUAAAAGGCUGCUUAUAUGCAUAUCUGCUCAUUAGCCGCGUUUCCACUGUCGGGCUUAAAGCGGGCGUGCUAGUGCGUGCCAGGGCCAGUCGUGUUUCCACUGUCACUCCCGGGGCUUGAUCGUGCCUCGUCGGGGCUUCCUCGGGGCCAACGGCCAGGGUUUU
ensembl:lncRNA